GGGGUGCUUGGUAGUGAAGUACGUCAAGCAAAAGCCUGAGCCGAAGAGGGAGCGAAAUCAAGUAGCGAAGCAUGCGAUUUCACGCUGGCGAGAAAAGUUGCUAGUAUAUCGAAGAGGCGCCCGUACCGCAAUCCGACGCAGGUAGGCGAGAAGAGAAUUCUAAGACGAACGGGAGAAUCCUUGUUAAGGAACUCGGCAAAAUGACCCCGUAACUUCGGGAGAAGGGGUGCCGAUGGAAACAUCGGUCGCAGAGAAUAGGCUCAAGCAACUGUUUAGCAAAAACACAGGUAUCUGCGAAAGAGAGAUCUGACGUAUAGGUGCUGACACCUGCCCGGUGCUGGAAGGUUAAGGGGAAAUGUUAGGGCAACCGAAGCAUAGAACCGAGGCCCCAGUAAACGGCGGCCGUAACUAUAACGGUCCUAAGGUAGCGAAAUUCCUUGUCGGGUAAGUUCCGACCCGCACGAAUGGUGUAAUGAUUUGAGCGCUGUCUCAGCAGGGAGCCCGGUGAAAUUGAAGUAUGGGUGAAGAUGCCCAUUACCCGCGACUGGACGGAAAGACCCCGUAGAGCUUGACUGUAGCUUGAUAUUGGAUUUCGGUAACGGAUGCACAGCAUAGGUGGGAGACAGGGAAACCACUACUUCGGUAGUGAUGGAGUCGCCGUUGGGAUACCACUCUUCUGUUAUUGGAAUUCUAACAUAGCGCCAUGAAACUGGUGGAUGGACAGUGUCAGGUGGGCAGUUUGACUGGGGCGGUCGCCUCCAAAAGAGUAACGGAGGCGCCCAAAGGUACCCUCAGAAUGGAUGGAAACCAUUCAAAGAGUGCAAAGGCAGAAGGGUGCUUGACUGUGAGAGUGACAACUCGAUCAGAGACGAAAGUCGGGCUUAGUGAUCCGGCGGUAUUGAGUGGAAAAGCCGUCGCUUAACGGAUAAAAGCUACCUCGGGGAUAACAGGCUGAUCUCCCCCAAGAGUCCACAUCGACGGGGAGGUUUGGCACCUCGAUGUCGGCUCGUCGCAUCCUGGGGCUGAAGCAGGUCCCAAGGGUUUGGCUGUUCGCCAAUUAAAGCGGCACGCGAGCUGGGUUCAGAACGUCGUGAGACAGUUCGGUCCCUAUCCAUCGUGGGCGUAGGAGUCAUGAAGGGAGCUGUUCCUAGUACGAGAGGACCGGAAUGGACGCACCACUGGUGCAACUGUAGUCGUGCCAACGGCAUAGCAGGGAAGCGAAGUGCGGAUGGGAUAAACGCUGAAGGCAUCUAAGCGUGAAGCCCACCUUAAGAAUAAGACUCCAAGCAGCAAUGCGAGAGACCCCUGGAAGACUACCAGGUGAUAGGUCAUCGGUGGAAGUGCAGUAAUGCAUGCAGCUUGAUGAUACUAAUCGGUCGAUAGCUU
rnacentral:rRNA from 1 species